CGCAGCGACGCCGCGUGAGGGAGGAAGGCCUUCGGGUUGUAAACCUCUUUUAAGAGAGAAGAAGCUACUCGGGUUAAUAGCCCAGAGGGUGACGGUAUCUCUUGAAUAAGCCCCGGCUAACUACGUGCCAGCAGCCGCGGUAAUACGUAGGGGGCAAGCGUUGUCCGGAUUUACUGGGCGUAAAGAGCGUGUAGGCGGCCAUGAAGGUCCGUUGUGAAAACUGGAGGCUCAACCUUCAGACGUCGACGGAAACCGCGUGGCUAGAGUCCGGAAGAGGAGAGUGGAAUUCCUGGUGUAGCGGUGAAAUGCGCAGAUAUCAGGAAGAACACCAAUGGCGAAGGCAGCUCUCUGGGACGGUACUGACGCUGAGACGCGAAAGCGUGGGGAGCGAACAGGAUUAGAUACCCUGUAGUCCACGCCGUAAACGAUGGGUGCUAGGUGUGGGAGGUGUCGACUCCUUCCGUGCCGUAGCUAACGCAUUAAGCACCCCGCCUGGGGAGUACGGCCGCAAGGCUA
rnacentral:rRNA from 1 species